rnacentral:rRNA from 1 species
GUGGGGAAUCUUCCGCAAUGGACGAAAGUCUGACGGAGCAACGCCGCGUGAGUGAAGAAGGUUUUCGGAUCGUAAAGCUCUUUCGUUAGGGACGAACGUGCUCUAUGUGAAUAAUGAGGAGUAAUGACGGUACCUAAAUAAGAAGCCACGGCUAACUACGUGCCAGCAGCCGCGGUAAUACGUAGGUGGCAAGCGUUGUCCGGAAUUAUUGGGCGUAAAGCGCGCGCAGGCGGGAUAUCAAGUCUGUCUUAAAAGUGCGAGGCUCAACCUCGUGAGGGGACAGAAACUGGUAUUCUUGAGUGUCGGAGAGGAAAGUGGAAUUCCAAGUGUAGCGGUGAAAUGCGUAGAGAUUUGGAAGAACACCAGUGGCGAAGGCGACUUUCUGGACGAUGUCUGACGCUGAGGCGCGAAAGCUAGGGGAGCGAACGGGAUUAGAAACCCUGGUAGUCC